rnacentral:lncRNA from 1 species
CUGCUAUAAAUGGUCAGUUGUUAAAUUUCCACUUGCCUUUAGAAAUAAGCGAGCACAGUCUGACUGUACACAUAAUGACGUGGCUGUAUUGUGCUCUGAAUGUUUUUUUGCUCUGCAGUCUACAGCAGACACACACAGGGACCAAACAGGCCAACAACCUGCUGGGGGAGCAUCUGCACAUAGCGUCAGAGAGCCUGAGCAGUGAGAGGAGGUUCCUGUUAAACAGAGUUUCUCAGCUGAACUCAGAGCUGGAGGAAGCACACAGGACCAUUGCAGCGUUGCAGAACAUUAAUGUGCCGUGCUUGAUAAAGGAGCUGCUGGAGAAGCACUUUGACUCAUCAGAGGCCGUGCAUAACUUCCUCUCAGCCUCUGUGGCCAAUAACCUCUGUGCCGUCCCCACUCCCACCGACAGCCAACCUCUGAGCCACUGGCUGACAGAGUCUGAAGCAGCUCCUCCAAGAGUCACUGCCUUCCUUCCAUUCAAACAGCCAACAGCACAAAUCGUCACAGCCAAGAGCGAGGCGAGUCGCAGCCCACCCCUGUCUGUGGCUGACAUUAGUACAGCCAUUUAUAACAAAAUGGCUGCCAGCUAUGCCACUAGGCCACAGCCACUUUAUCCACAAAGCCAACAACAGCAACAGCAACUCCCCCUGAGCACUAACCUCCCUCACAUCUCACCUAGGGUGACCCACGUGGCUGGUGACUGCUGGGGUGGGAAGGAAGGGUCGAAGGUGACCCUUUUGGAGCAGGAUAUAAAGGUAAACUCAGUCUCAGCUCAGCAGAUCCUUGAUGGGUUUCUGCAGCAUCUACAGGAUCACACAGAGGCAGGGGAAGGGGCAAAUAGGCCGGGGGGGGCAGGGGUGGGAACAAACAAGGAAAGUGCUUGACUGAAAACAGAAUAACUGUGUAUUUAGUGAGAGAUGAGUCUAUUAGGUGACCUGACCAAAUCCCAAAUACCUUUAUUAAAAAAUGGACAAAAUCAUAGUCCCAUGUAUAGAUUUGUUCAAUUAAUGUGUCUCAUCAAUAUUGGGGAGAUUCAACACCCAAAUUGUUGGAGAUAAGGUUUAUGUUUAGAAGUGAUUUAAGUUUUACUUGAUGGAUUGUGAAAUGUAUUAGUUAGCAAAGAAAUAAUGUUGGAAAAAGACCUGAGGCAAGGGUUCCAGGCAUGUAUGACAAAGUGAAGCUCCUGUUGCGUGUUUCCAGUCUCACAUGUAAAGUUUUUUGUUUUACAUAAUGCAAUUUACAAUCAGACUAAACCUAG